CUCUGAAGUGGUCUUAUGGGUCAGCUUGUCUGGCUUUCCUGGCGGAGGAUGUGUGAGGCUGGAGAGUCUGAGAAAACAACAGGGAAACAGAAGAUCAGUUCCAGGUUGACGGUGCGAGACGUGGCUCCAAUCCUCCUGCAUGUCUGUCUCCAGCUCUAGUCUUUCUAGGCCUCCAUUAAGCUCCUUCAGCUUUCACAUGACACAGCAAUACCCAUCAUAAGCUGCAUGACAGCAUCUGGACCUGAGUGACAUUUGAUGUAUGCGGCAGGAGUGGGAGCAGCUCCGCUCUGUGUCUCCCAUUCAUGUGGUGAGGGCAGGAUUAAGACGUGAUCCAACGGAGCAGAAGUGGAGAAGAACGAGCUCGGGUCAGAUCUGCCUUGAAUUAACUCAGUGUUGCAGCAGGAAUAAUACAAUCACCUCCCCCAAAACCCCAAAAUACUACUGAAGGGUAAAGUAUGUGUGCCUGUGUGUGUGCUGAGCCCGGCCUGUGUCGAGGCUGCGACCAAACCGCAGGCUGGUGUCCUUUACAGAGAAGAGGGGUCUGUGUUGAUGGUUCAAACACAGCUCACGGCCUCAGCUUCAAAAGGGCCCCAAUCAUCGCACCCACUUACAGCCAACGGCGCAUGUCACUGAAUGUGGACCACACUAUUCAUCAAUUGCAGCCAGCUCAGGGGACGUCCAACAGCCCCACAAGAAGUGAGUUGUCUUCUGUUCUCACUGAACCCCCCCCCCCCAGCCUCUCAAAGCCCAUCUGUAGCAGGAGGUGUGGUGUGAGGCCGCUUCCCUUUAUCUUUCCUGUUGUUAUCUCACCACAGCUCUGAAAAGCUCCUCAUCUGUAGAUUUGGCCUCCUGCAGCUUUAAAGAAAGCAGACGGCUAAUCGAAACGCCGUUGGGACACAUACGAGUCCAUGACCUUUCCUUCCUCCUUGCUGUCUCUUGCCCAGACGCCGCCAUGAUACCAAAAAUUAUUGCUGUGUCUCACAGCCGAUUGCCCCGAGUCCAACGAAGAACCACGAGACCCUCGGAACCAGAUUGUUACUGUGGGGGUGGAGGGGGCACAGCAGUUCACCGCUGGACCACCCACAUUCGGAAACGCCUAGCUGUUCCUGAGGCCGAGCUUGGAGAGCGUGGCCGAGAGAGAUUGGCCACUGAUCCCACAGUGGUGCCCAGCAUGCCUCCGAACGGCCCCCCCACAAACAGGCCGACCAGGGAGCCGAGCAAGGCCUCUCUUCUCACCAGUGUGGGCAGCCAGUAUAUCCAGCUCAUCAGCUUCUCCCACAGGCUCCGGAGAAACGACGGCGCAGAGGCGACACUGGUCCGGGGGAAAAUAUCAUCAAUAUCUACGUUCAGGUCACCUACGCUCCUCUCCGCCUCCUCCCGCUCCGCUUCCAUCUCUUCUUCUGUCAUGUUUUCCUCUGACGGGGAGUCAUCCAACCCCUCUCCUCUUCUCUGCCUCACCAGCUCCACCUGCCUCUUCCUCACCCUCUCCUCAGCCUCCUGGUACAGGGGGCAGCUCAGGUGUUGA
ensembl:lncRNA